GGAGAUAAGUAUAAAAUAUAGAUAUAUUUACGGUAGCUCGGAAGGGCCCGGGUGUACGGUCGGUUGCUCGGGAAGAGCGAGGAGGAGGAGGAAGGUAAAGAGCGCAGGGGUAAAGGAGGGUGGUUUAUGCCGUGGCACUAGGCGGUGGUCGGGCGGCCGGCUAGGGGCCGGCCGGUACCGGCGGCUGAGGCGGCGGGCGACGGGCACCCUGCUCGAGGGCCGCGUGGAGGUCCUCGCGUAGGAGAGGGCGGACGGCGAGUGGCGCGAGCAGGGGCAGCGGCGGCAGAGGGCCCGCGACGCGGCGGAGGACGCGAGGGGCCGGAAGGUGCGGGAGGAGAGGGUCGUGGCGGAGCUGCGGAAGAAGGAGGAGAGCGGCGCGGAGCGGAAGGUGGGCGAGAGGGCCGCGGAGGAGGUCCACGGGGGGAGCGGGGGCGAGCUAGGUAGAACGGGAGGGGAGUAGAGGAGGCGGAGGGGGAGGAAGGAACAGUGGCGGCUGAGCGAGGAGGCGGAGGGUCGCGAGGGGCUGGCGAGGAUGGAGUAGCGACAGCAGCAGGGUGGGAGUGGGAGGAGGAGGUCGGCCCUAAUGUGGGAGCAGCGGCAGUGGUGGUUGCCGCGGCGACAGGCGAGCAUAAGGGACCUGAGGCGGCUAGGGAGGGGUGCCACCCAUGGACCCCGGCUCGAGGGCGAUGGUAAACGCUAGGAACCGUUACGACGCCAGCGGUCACUGGCACGAGCCGAGAAACACGAGCCGGCCCCAGGCCUGCGUGAAGACCACGAACUAGAGCUCUGGUCCUUCACCCGACGAGGCGGUCAACACUACGGCGUGCCGGAAUGUUGCCGCGUGGACAAACAAGAGCUACUAGCCGACAAGAACCAGCCACCCCACCUCUCCGAGCCCCACGACCUCGCCCACCACCACACCGUCAACCUGUUGCUGCUCCGUCACCCUACCCACCUCCAUCGGCGUUACGGCGGCCUCCACAAGCUACUCAACCACCGACCAUCCGUACCGUCAAAGACCGUGAAAGUCCGACGCCUGUCUUACCCCUGAGAAACAGACAUGUUACGAAAUCUACCCUCCGACCACUACAAACUACGCCACCUAACACAUACCUGCUACUACGGUGCUCACAGACCCAAUCCUCGGCCCCUCUCGGUUUACACCAAACCCGUACAGAACCUCGGUCCGCAGCCGGAGAACGACCCUGUUGCGUCGGGCACAAGUACUCCUUUAUAGAUUGAAGUUCUAAGUUUCGGUAGUAUCGAUAGAGCCAAGAAAACCCAGUUCACAGUUACAUAAUACAGAAGGCUAUAACUUAUCCUCAACCGUCAGAUGACCUCGUAUCCGACUUCUCAACCCCUCGUCCUAACCCACACCCUCCGUUUCUCUUCCGAAGGCCGGACAGCUCAGGAGAGAGCACGGGUGGCACCGGAACAUCUUCGGCGGGGUAUCUUCACUCCCAAAGCUAAGCCGACCUACACUCGGAAUAGUACGGAAUAAAGUGGUACCUACCGUAACAUAGAACAUGUGUAUGUCAAAUAGAUUUUUACAUGAAAACGAUUCGACAAAGCACAUCCGUCGGAUUGGAAAAAUACAAGAGUGUUACCUUCUAAUACAAAAGUAACAUUUUGAUGAAAUGUUAGUUCUCUCUUC
rnacentral:rRNA from 1 species